CCCCCACCAUCACCUCCUACCGUUCUAACUGUUUUUUGUAAUAAAGAACGGCAUGUCUGGGUUGGAUCUUCACUGAUCAGAACGUCCAGGAACUUCACAGAGCUUCCACACCUAAGUUUUCAAUGAAAUUAUCGAGUUGAUUAAAAAAACAAAAAAAGUUAUGAUAAUUACCAAAUUAACCAUCUAUUUAUCCCGAUCACCUCCCUAUUUGACAACAACAGAGGGAGAGAGGAGCCAUCACAAAUCGUUCCUCCUGCAUUUUCUGGGGUGUUGUUAAGAAAUCAUAAUGUCUGGCGUAGAGGAUUUGAAAGCUAAUGAAGCAAGAAAAGUCAAUGCCAUCACCACAGCAGGAGCCAACGCAGCAGCAGACGCGUUACAGGAAGUCUCCAUGUGCUCCAUCCGAAGGCGGUGAAGAUGCAGGAGCUGCUCCGACCGAUGGAGGUUCCGGCAACGAGUAGAGAGAUGUGGAAACUCUUGUGUAAGAACCUUGUUACAUUCAGAUAUUGUCUGUCCAUUUGAAACAACAGACAUCGUUUCCAUUAUAUAUUAACUUGAUCG